UGUAAUGAAUUUUGGAAGUGAACGAAACCGUCAUAUUGUCCAAUUACGUAAAGAACCUCGAUGAAGAACUUUUCGUAUACUUGGGAAGUGAAAACUCUGAAUAUAUUACCGGAAAUAUUGUAUCAACUGUAUCUUCAACACUGUAUCCACUAACACUGCGACCACAAUCUGUAAUCGUAUUAACAGAUAAACAUAUUGAACUUGAAAAGAUUGAUACU